UGGGGCCUACGGGACGCAGCAGUGAGGAAUAUUGGUCAAUGGUCGGGAGACUGAACCAGCCAAGCCGCGUGAGGGAUGAAGGUACAGAGUAUCGUAAACCUCUUUUGUCAGGGAACAAAGGCGGGGACGUGUCCCCGGAUGAGUGUACCUGAAGAAAAAGCAUCGGCUAACUCCGUGCCAGCAGCCGCGGUAAUACGGAGGAUGCGAGCGUUCUCCGGAUUUAUUGGGCGUA
rnacentral:rRNA from 1 species